rnacentral:rRNA from 1 species
AAACCGUUGAAAGGGAAGCGAAUGGAGUUAGCAAUUCGCCCUGCCAGAUUCAGUUGCUCGUGCGCCGCGACGUGCGCGCUCUCGAUCCGCAUGGACGAGACGUGUGCGGGUGCGGCGCUCGGACGGCGCACUUCUGGCGGGCGAGCGUCAGCGUCGGUUGUCGACGGGCGACAAGGAUGCAAGGAAGGUGGACCUGCCCUCGGGACGGUUGUUAAGCCUUGCACUCGUAUAGCUCGACGGCGACCGUGGCUCAUCGAGGCGACGCGUGCCUAGCUGGCGACUCGAACGAUCGGUCUGGCAUGUCGACUGUGGCGGACGGCACGCCUGUGCGCUCGAACUGCUGCCGGUCGAUCGGACGAUGUUCGCACACUACGCGUCGAAGAUGCUGACGACCAUACGGCUCCAUCCGACCCGUCUUGAAACACGGACCAAGGAGUCUAACAUGUGCGCAAGUCUCCGGGUGAUCGAAACCCGUGGGCGCAAUGAAAGUAAAGAUCGUCCUAGACGAUUGAGGUGAGAAGCAGGCGUCCUCGUGGCGCUUGCCGCAUCAUCGACCGACCUAUUCUGCUCUCAGGAAGGUUUGAGUAAGAGCGUAUCUGUUGGGACCCGAAAGAUGGUGAACUAUGCC